AUCUGUGUUACAAAGCUGUAUCAUCAAGACUGUAUGGCACCGGCACAAAACAGGCACUCAGAUCAAUGGAACAGAAUAGAGAACCCAGAAACGGACCCACAAAUGUAUGG